AUGAAAAAGAAUAGAGCGAAAGAAUCGCAAUGAAUUGGAUAAAUACGAUGAUGAUCCAUGCUAUUCUUUCUUUUAUUUUUGGUUCUAUUUUACGUCU
rnacentral:ribozyme from 14 species